rnacentral:lncRNA from 1 species
GUCCACAGGAGCCAGUAUUUGUGGCGCAGAGAGAGGCAGAAGAGCUUUGUGACAGAGAGCUGGGAGCUGGGUAAGAUUCUCUGUUCUUCAGCGGUUUAUCGCCAUCUCGCAGCAUCCGGUUGUGUAAUGCUUAUCGCUUGCUGCUCCUCGGGGGAUGUCUGUGUUGGUGUGUCUGAGUGCCUCAGUCUUCAGGUUCUGAGUUGCAGCUUUGCUCUGACCACGAGAACAUUCCAGGCAUCAAUGGAAGCUAUUCAUCCACAGCAGAUUUUAACUGGCCAUGCAACACAUUUGGUUUUCUUUGUAACUGAAAUAUGGAAUCCCCAUCUCCCCAUCUUUUUUUUUAAAGUUGCUCAAGGAAUCCCGGCUGCUGAAGUCUGGUUUUGGUUCCCCCACAGCCCUCAACUUCCUGGUGGAACACCUCUUACCAUCUUUUCUGAUGACCUCUUGUCUGUGGUUGUACCUGCUGGAUUCCAUGCAUUCUCCCUAUAACCCAAGCAAGGAAACUCAGACUUGCUGUUGAGAGAGAUCAAAAGCAGAGAGCCAUUAUUCAUGUCAUCACAACAAAGGCCCUAAGAGGUGGCCCACAAUUCUGCAUAUGAGAACUCUCAUCUUGUCAGUCUACUCCUAGGCCUAAAGAAAUCAAUCUACACAAGUCAAAGUCACAGGGAAAUAAUUUUUAACCCAGAAUUCUGGUUAUUCUGGUUUGAACAUUUAUAAUGGGGGGUUCUACAUUCCCUUUAUUGUAAUCUUCCAGUUCACGAUUCGAAGUCCACCCUUCCAGAGGGGCCCGAUGAAGCGGAUGGAUUAUUAGAAGGUUGCCUGGUAGAAACAGACUGAAAGCAAAGAAGUGGAGUGGUUUUGAGAGACUUUCAUUAAACAUGUCAGAAUAAUCCAAGAGUUAUCAGUAUUUCUGUACAGUAUGCCUUCCUAGCAAACAUGAAGAAGAAGAGUCUACUUUUUAUACUUCAUAUGAACAUGAGAACUGAGGUCAUCAACCUCCUGGUCAAUGGGAUGACAGAUGUUGAAGCGAGCUCAGAGGUUAUUCCUACAUACAUUCCUGAGGGUGGAGAAGCUAGGGGGCAUUUACCCACUACCAAGUACUAUGUGAAGUGCUCUAUCUAUCUAUCUAUCUAUCUCAUUUAAUGCUUAUAACAACCCCAUGAAAUCGAUGUUAUAUAUAUCCUUGUAGUGGUUUGAAUUAUGUCCCCCCAAAAGAUAUGUCUACGUCCUAAUCCCAGGUACCUCUGAAUGUGACCUUAUUUGGAAAUAGGAUCUUUGUAGAUAGAUUUAGUUAAGAUAAGGUCAUAGUGGAUUAAGAUGGACCCUUAAUCAAAUGACCUGUGUUCUUGUAAGAGGAGAAGACAGAAACACAGAAUGCAUAGUUGGAAGAUGAUGUGAAGACACAGAAGAAAAUACCAUGGGACAGUUAAAAGCUUGGAGUGAUGCAUCCACAAGCCAAGGAAUGCCAAAGGUUGCUGGUAACCACUAGAAGCUAGAAAAGGCAAGGGAGACUUCUUCCCUAAAGGCUUCUAAUGGAGCAUGGCCCUACUGACGCCUGGAUUUCAGACUGCAAGGGAAUAAAUUUCUGUUGUUUAAGGCUCUGGGUUUGUGG